rnacentral:lncRNA from 1 species
UGGCUGGCUGGGGUAGCCUGCUCUUAUUCCCUUAUCUUGCCCCACCUGCUGAUUGGCUCAUUUUACAGAGAGCUGAUUGGUCCACUUUACAGAGAGCUGAUUGGACUGUUGUGACAGGGUGCUGAUUAGUGCAUUUACAGUCCUCUAGCUAGACAUGAAAGUUCUCCAAGUCCCCACUAGGUUAGCUAGAUACAGAGUACUGAUUAGUGUAUUUACAAACUCUGAGCUAGACACAGAGUGCUGAUUGGUGUAUUUACAAUCCUUUAGCUAGACAUAAAGCUUCUCCAAGUCCCCACUAGGAUAGUUAGAUGCUAACUAAUCAGAGUACCAAUUGGUGUAUUUACAAACCCUGAGGUAGACACAGAGUGCUUAUUGGUGUAUCCACAAUCCCUUAGAGAGAGGUAAAAGCUCUCCGUGUCCCCACCAGACUCAGGAGCCCAGCCGGCCUCAGCCAGUGGAUCCCACACUGGGACCCCAGGCGGAGCUGCCCACCUGUUUGUCCCUGAGACUCCAGAGGUCAAGAAUUUGCAUUCUAGCAGGAAGGAACAGGGGGAGUCAUUGCGUUCAUGGGGUACAUGGAUGCACACCUGCCCCAAGUCCUGUACCAGAGCUGUAACAUAAUUACAUUCCCUCAACGCAUUUCAAUAUUUAAAUAUUAAUACUUCACCUCUUUAGAUAUCUAAGCUUACUUCACUAGUUGUUCAUCGUACAGGUAAGGAAGUUUACAAAUAUUUACAAUGUUACAUAGAUUGACAAGAUGUGGGCUAUGACAUUUUGUCAGUUAACUAUACCAACGAACAACAUAAUAUAAGUGUUUAAACCUAGAAUGCCUUGUAACUACUAAUACCAGGUUAAGGAAUAUUGCAAGAUAAUAGUCUGUCCAAUAAAUUGUUUUGUAAUUUCAAUAAUCAACUGUGUCAUUUUUUUUCUUGAGCAGUAAGACUUGUUUGCUAAUUAUUGCAAUCAUGAACUUUUAUUUCAUUAAUCAUUUUAUUUAUAAAUUGAGAGUGAUCUCAUCAAUGAUCUAAAAAAAUGAAUCAUUAUUUUAGAAACACCACAUUUUCAACUUUACAGUUAUAUAUCACAACUGCUGUGACUUUAAGUACUUAACUGAACAAAGCCUUAGAAAAUUAGAUAGGGCUAGGCACCAAAUGAACGGGUUGAGCGAAUGCAUACAAAAUCCCUGAGAAAACCAAGAACAUGUGUCCCUACAAGCUGGAGCAGAUAAGAGUGCAGGCAGUAGAGUGGACUGAACCGGAGAAGGAAACAGGCAGGAGCACUUGGGUUCUGCAGCCAUGGUGGGUUCUGUGGUCCUUGUUCUAAGGUUAGUGAACAACUAUUGGCAAAAUUAAAUCAGGAGAGUGACAGUGAGAAGUGACAACUUGCUAGUAGACCUCGCUCUUGGCACCUCCUCGGCCUCCGCGUCCAAACUGACAGCGCUUGAGGAGCCCUUCAGCACACCAAUGCACUGUAGGAGCCCCUCUCUGGUCUGGCCAAGGCUGGAGCCAGCUCCCUCUGCUUGCUGGAAGGUGUCGAGGGAGAGCCACCAGCGAGAACCGGGGCUGUGCCCGGUGCGUGUCCAGGCCAGAGCGAGUUCCAGCAAGUGCAGGCAUGUGCCUGGCUUGGCUGGCCCCACACUCAGAGCAGCCAGCCAGCACUGCCAGCCCAGAACAGUAAGGGGCUCAGCAUCCUGGUCAGGAGCUGCAGAGGUUGCACUGGAUCCUCUAGCAGUGCUGGCCCGUCAGUGCUGUACUAAAAUUCUCGCUGGGCCUUAGCUGCUUCCCCCACGGGUCAGGGCUCAGGACGUGCAGCCUGCCCUGUCUGAGCUCCCGCCACCCUCUCCGUGGGCUGCUGCUGGCCCAAGCCUCCCUGACAGGCGCUCCGGCUGUUCUGUAGCGCCAGGUUCCAUAGACAGCCCAAGGGCUGAAAAGCUCACUUACACACUUAUUGGGAUUGCAUGCCUACAGACAGAUAGGUCUCCUCCCAAGUAAGAGCUGCAGAGACAUCUCAACAAUCUUCCCAGGUAGAAGCUUCCCAGAUAGAAGCUACCCACUGUGAAUUUCCUCUCUACUAAGGGCUUCAGAGAUGUUUUCACAAUCUGCCUGUCUCCCGAGACUGAUCACUCUGGGUCUCCUAUUUGCUGAGUGUUGCACAGAUGAAGGAAUGUCCUCUUUGUAAAAUUGAUUUACCCACUUUGUGUCCCGUGAGAGCUCUAUUUUCUCUCAAUAAAGCAUCUAUUUACCUUGCUUAUUCUCCAGUUGCCCACUUACAUCAUUCUUUCUGGACAUAGGACAAGAACUCAGGACUAACUUAAUGGCACAACUAAAAGAAUAGUAACAGAAAUGGGUCAGAAACCCUCCAACCUAUAGUUGUUGCAUUGUUGGUUACCAGAAUUUAAAAAAAAAAAAAAAAACAAAAACAAAAAAAA